UACGAAGGGGGCUAGCGUUGCUCGGAAUCACUGGGCGUAAAGCGCACGUAGGCGGCUUUGUAAGUUAGAGGUGAAAGCCCGGGGCUCAACUCCGGAACUGCCUUUAAGACUGCAUCGCUUGAAUUGUGGAGAGGUAAGUGGAAUUCCGAGUGUAGAGGUGAAAUUCGUAGAUAUUCGGAAGAACACCAGUGGCGAAGGCGACUUACUGGACACAUAUUGACGCUGAGGUGCGAAAGCGUGGGGAGCAAACAGG
rnacentral:rRNA from 1 species